rnacentral:rRNA from 1 species
GACGAACGCUGGCGGCGUGCCUAAUACAUGCAAGUCGAACGCAGUGGGGACGGGUGAGUAACACGUGGGUAACCUCCCCAUCAGAGGGGAUAACACUUGGAAACAGGUGCUAAACCGAUACUGAUGGAUGGACCCGCGGUGCAUUAGCUAGUUGGUGAGGUAACGGCUCACCAAGGCCACGAUGCAUAGCCGACCGUAACGGGUGAUCGGCCAACCUGGAACUGAGACAAGGCCCAGAAUCCUACGGGAGGCAGCGGGAGGGAAUCUUCGGCAAUGGACGAAAGUCUGACCGAUCAACGCCGCGUGAGUGAAGAAGGUUUUCGGAUCGUAAAACUCUGUUGUUAGAGAAGCGGUAUCUAACCAGAAAGCCACGGCUAACUACGUGCCAGCCGCCGCGGUAAUUC